AAAGAACGGCUGGGAUUUGAUGAGACUACAAAUGUUGAAAUUAUCGAAAUUGCUCGCCCACACUUUGGGCAGCGGAUAAAGCCCAGUGCUCCAGGCAGUUAGCUAGGGUUGGGCCUGCGCAGAGGAACUGAGGUCUGAGUGCUGUGGAAGCUUGAGUCAGAGCCUUGGCCUGGGGAAACUUGGUCAAAUAACAUCUGUUCCCUGGUUGUUAAUUUUAUUGUUUCACUAGGGAGCCUUGAUUAAUGCACAGGAAACAAUAGAGAAAGACUGAAGGUAUGGUUGUUAAAUGCUGGCGCCUCCUACAAGCGCUGAAGAGGCUUUGGUCUUAGCAUGGAAGACUAACGUAGUCCUCCUUUCUGUGCUGGUUCUUGAUCCAGCAGGAAUCUUCCACUAGCCACGAGUUAGCAGAAAGGGGAAGGACUCCAUGAACUCCUCCGUUACUCAUAACAGGCUGCUGCUGAUUGCAGUCAUGUACAGCCACAGCUGAGAUCCAGAUAUAUAAAUCUCAGCUACUGUGACUACCUGCAUGCUGCCAUACUCCCCAUCAUGAUGACCAUG